UGCUAGAGUAAUCCAAAGGAGUAUUGAUUCGUAGUUUUGUGGGAAUAGUUUAUCCGUAGUUUUGUGGGAAUAGUUUAUCCGUAGUUUUGUGGGAGUAGUUUAUCCGUAGUUUUGUGGGAGUAGUUUAUCCGUAGUUUAUCUUCCAUUUGCAAGAUCCAAGGACCACAAGUAUAUCAUCUCAAGUUCCAUCAUACGGCGUUUAAUAGGGGGUCACAAUGGCCUAAGACACCCAGGCCAAACGUUAUGACGGACUGGCAAGUCUGACUUCACGCAGCAGAGGAUUGAGCCGGAAAUAGAUAAGUACAUUUUUAAACAUUUUUACAUUUUCAAAAAUGAUUUAUCAUAGCUUCCGUCAUUUAUCAUCAUUCGCGUAGAAUGAGUUAGAGUAUAUCACUUGAUUCUUUCACGCUUUGGUACCUUUUCACGCCAACUACGAUUGCAAAGGAGCCAAAGGUAU